rnacentral:rRNA from 1 species
UACGAGGGGUGCAAGCGUUAUUCGGAAUAACUGGGCGUAAAGAGCGCGUAGGCGGCUUGUUAAGUCUGUUGUUAAAUUACCCAGCUUAACUGGGAAGAGGCAAUAGAAACUGGCGAGCUAGAGGACAAGAGAGAGAAGUGGAAUUCUCGGAGUAGCGGUAAAAUGCGUAGAUCUCGAGAGGAACACCGAUGGCGAAGGCAGCUUCUUGGCUUGUAUCUGACGCUCAAGUGCGAAAGCGUGGGGAGCAAACAGG